AUUGAACGCUGGCGGCAGGCCUAACACAUGCAAGUCGAACGCGUGGCGGACGGGUGAGUAAUGUCUGGGAAACUGCCUGAUGGAGGGGGAUAACUACUGGACACGGUCGCUAAUACCGCAUACCCUCAGAUGUGCCCAGAUGGGAUUAGCUAGUUGGUGGGGGAACGGCUCACCAAGGCGACGAUCCCUAGCUGGUCUGAGAGGAUGACCAGCCACACUGGAAAUGAGACACGGUCCAGACUCCUACGGGAGGCAGCAGUGGGGAAUAUUGCACAAUGGGCGCAAGCCUGAUGCAGCCAUGCCGCGUGUAUGAAGAAGGCCUUCGGGUUGUAAAGUACUUUAAGUUGGGAGGCGUUACCAACAGAAGAAGCACCGGCUAACUUCGUGCCAGCAGCCGCGGUAAUAC
rnacentral:rRNA from 1 species